CUCAGGGAGGUAGUGACAAGAAAUAACAACACUGGAAAUUUUAUUUCUAGUGAUUGGAAUGAUGGGAAUUUAAACCCCUUUCAGAGUAACAAUUGGAGGGCAAGUCUGGUGCCAGCAGCCGCGGUAAUUCCAGCUCCAAUAGCGUAUAUUAAAGUUGUUGCAGUUAAAAAGCUCGUAGUUGGAUGUCUGCUGGAAGCAAUCAGUCCGCCCUAUUUGUAGGGUGUGCACUUGAUGAAUUCUGGCAUCUAUGUCCUAAUGUGAUAGAUACGGCGGUGUAUAUGGGUUAAUCCUAUAUACCCGUUUUUGUAUAUUAUAUUGGGAUAAUACCGUUACUUUGAGAAAAUUAGAGUGUUUGAAGCAGGCUAAUUGCCUUGAAUACUGCAGCAUGGAAUAACAAUAUAGGAUUUCGGUUCUAUUUUGUUGGUUUCUAGGACUGAAAUAAUGAUUAAUAGGGACAGUUGGGGGCAUUCGUAUUUAACUGUCAGAGGUGAAAUUCUUAGAUUUGUUAAAGACGAACUACUGCGAAAGCACUUGCCAAAGAUGUUUUCAUUAAUCAAGAACGAAAGUUAGGGGCUCGAAGACGAUCAGAUACCGUCGUAGUCUUAACCAUAAACUAUGCCGACUAGAGAUAGGAAAAUGUCAUUUUUCUGACUU
rnacentral:rRNA from 1 species